UACGUAGGUGGCAAGCGUUGUCCGGAUUUACUGGGCGUAAAGGGCGUGCAGGCGGUUUGUUAAGUGCAGGGUGAAAGCUCCCGGCUCAACUGGGAGAGGUCCUUGCAUACUGGCAGACUUGAGGGAGGCAGAGGAAAGUGGAAUUCCCGGUGUAGUGGUGAUAUGCGUAGAUAUCGGGAAGAACACCAGUGGCGAAGGCGGCUCACUGGCCCGGUACUGACGCUGAGGUGCGAAAGCGUGGGGAGCAAACAGG
rnacentral:rRNA from 1 species